GAUGAACGCUGGCGGCGUGCCUAAUACAUGCAAGUCGAGCGAACAGACGAGGAGCUUGCUCCUCUGACGUUAGCGGCGGACGGGUGAGUAACACGUGGAUAACCUACCUAUAAUACUGGGAUAACUUCGGGAAACCGGAGCUAAUACUGGAUAAUAUAUUGAACCGCAUGGUUCAAUAGUGAAAGACGGUUUUGCUGUCACUUAUAGAUGGUUCCGCGCCGCAUUAGCUAGUUGGUAAGGUAACGGCUUACCAAGGCGACGAUGCGUAGCCGACCUGAGAGGGUGAUCGGCCACACUGGAACUGAGACACGGUCCAGACUCCUACGGGAGGCAGCAGUAGGGAAUCUUCCGCAAUGGGCGAAAGCCUGACGGAGCAACGCCGCGUGAGUGAUGAAGGUCUUCGGAUCGUAAAACUCUGUUAUUAGGAAAGAACAAAUGUGUAAGUAACUAUGCACGUCUUGACGGUACCUAAUCAGAAAGCAACGGCUAACUACGUG
rnacentral:rRNA from 1 species